GACGAACCGUCCAAACGUUAUUCGGAAUCACUGGGCUUACAGAGUUCGUAGGCGGUCCCAAAAGUUAGGUGUGAAAUCCCUCGGCUCAACCGAGGAACUGCGCUUAAAACUGUGGGACUCGAGGGAGAUAGAGGAAAGCGGAACUGAUGGUGGAGCGGUGAAAUGCGUUGAUAUCAUCAGGAACACCGGUGGCGAAGGCGGCUUUCUGGGUCUUACCUGACGCUGAGGAGCGAAAGCCAGGGGAGCAAACGGG
rnacentral:rRNA from 1 species